CCCAGAGAAGGGAUCGACUUACCCAUCAUGCCACAGAGAUUAAUUGGCCCCAGAAUUCUUUAGCAGACCGUGUAUAUGAACGUCCUUUGCAAUCAUAUAAAUUAACUGGGAAAACCUCAUUUAGUAUGUUACAUGCCUAGCGUUUUGUGCCUGAACACCUUACAAGAACCAGGGACUAUUGCCCCAAUAUUAUAUUUCAGGAAAGGAAGGCCCAGACAAAUGGUGUCACUGGUCCACUUUCACCCAGUUGGUAAAUGAAACCAGAAAUUAUAGCUGUACCACAGAAAGGUGAAAACGUUUCUUUUAUAAUUUCACAUACAAUCUUUAAUGGACCCAGUGUCCAACACAUUAAAGCAAGUGCUCAGGAGUGACAUCAAGAUGUAAAAAAUAGUCCUGUCCUCAGGGAGUUUAGGUCUUGGAGAAAAGAGACCCAAGGAGACACAAGACAAAGGGGAAAGAGAAGGAGCGCUGAAGACUGAGGACCCUGCCUGUGGACUGAAGUGAGGAUGGGGACACCCGAUGCCCGGAAUAUGACAGUUUGGAGGGGCCUGAAGGACUCUUCUAUUCUCUAUCAGAAAAACAGAAUUACUCUCCUAACCAGAAAAGGUAUUUCAAUUUAUAUUUUCCAUCACAGCACUUUUCUGGUGAUAAUUUAAUGUGUUUUAAAAAAUGUAUCACAGUGAUGGCCUGGUGUGAAAUAAAUAAUAAAAUUUUAAGAAUUAAAAAAUAUAAAAAUCUUUUAUAUAGACAUUAGGAGUUACAAGGAUAACUGUGAAUUAUAAUUAGUAAUUAAAUUGAAAUACUGAUUAUUUUCAUUUUUAUUUAAUUAUUUAAUAAAACCUAUUUAACAUUUAAUAUUUAUCAGUAAUUAAAUCUAAUUGUUAAUAUUUAUUAUUAUAAAUUAUUUUAGAAUUAAAAAUAAGUGUAGAAGCGAGGCAUGGUGGCUCAAGCCUGUAAUCCCAACACUUUGGGAGGCUAAGGUGGGAGGAUUGCUUGAGCCCAGUAGUUCAAGACCAGCCUGGGCAACAUGGAGAAACCCUGUCUCAAUACAAAAAAAUGAGCCAUGUGUGGUGGUGCGUGCCUGUAGUCCCAGCCAUUCUGGAGGCUGAGGUGGGAGGAUGACUUGAGCCUAGGCAGUCAAGGCUGCAGUGAGCCCUGAUCUUGCCACUGCACUCCAGUCUGGGCAACAGAGCAAGACCCUGUGUCAAUAUACAUAUGGACAAACUUAAAAUUUAAAAUGAAAGCAUACUACUGAUACAGAAUUGAGUAGAGAUGCAAAGCUAGUCCUAUAACCAGAACAAUAAAGAUAAAAAGGAGAGUGGAAGAAGGUAUGUCAUGAAUUUCAUGAUAAAUGGCAAUUGCAAAUAUCCUGUAGCAGAACAAAACAACAAAACUGUAGAUAAAACAUAUCCAACCCUUUGGAAGGCCAAGGAGGGAGGAUUGUUUGAGCCCAGAAGUUGGAGACCAGCCUGGGCAACAUAGUGAGACCCUGUAUCUAAAAAGGAAGAAAGAAAAAAAAAAAAAGGAUGAUAAAGUAGACAAUAUUGAAAGCCAUUUUCUGCAAAUACAUAGUGAAUUUGAUCAGUAAUUUUCUUCCAACAGUGCAAAAAUGAAUAGAUAUUAGUUGCCUGAAAUAAAAAUCAAAUAUCCAACAAAAAAUAUUGACUAUCUAAUAGUAUCUAAGCUAGUAAAUUUGGCCAGUUAUAAAAUGUCUUAAAUUUUUAUUUAAAAAAAGAAAACCAUAUUUAUAAGAAGAGGUGAUAAAGAGAAAUUAUUUCAGUUAUGAAGAUUUUGUUAGAAAACUAUGAGAAAAAAACUAUUUUUUGUUUUCAAAAAGUGAAAGAUUAAGUUACCAAACAGUUGCUAAAGAAUACCAGAUGGCUGAGCGUGGUGACUUAUGCCUGUAAUCCCAGUACUUUGGAAGGCCAAGGCAGGAGGAUCAUUUUAGGCCUGGAGUUCGAGACCAGCCUGGGCACUGUAGCAAGACCCGUCUCUAUUAAAAAAAAAAAAAAAAAAAAAAAAGAAUACAAGACCUUGCUAACAAUAGCAAAGAUCAAUUAAUUCAAAAUUUGAAAAACUGUAAUUUAUUUAGCUUUAGAGUACUCUCGUGAUAUGAGAUUGCCAAAUUAAUACUUUGGGUGCAUUUCUUUUCUCAAAGGACUUGCAAAUUUACAAAGAAGUGUUGAAGAAAAGCCACACAUUGGCAGGUAAUGUUUGCAAAAGACAGAUCUGAUGAAGAACAAUAUUUUUAGAAUAUACAAAGAAUACUUAAAACUCAACAGUAAGAAAAUAACCUGAUUUAAAGCAGGCCAAUGACCUGAACAUCUGUUCACCAAAGAAGAUACACAGAUGCAAGUAUGCAUAUGAAAAGAUGCUUGACAUCAUGUCAUUAGGGAACUGCAAAUUAAAACAAGUAGAUACCACUGCAUACCUAGUAGAAUGACCAAAAUUUAGAACACUGUCAGCACCAAAGGUUGCAAAGAUAUGUAGCAAUAGUAACUUGUUCAUUACUGGUGAGAAUGCAAAAUGUGCAAUCACUUUGGAAGACAGUUUGGUGGUUUCUUACAAAAGUAACCAUACUUUUACCAUAAGAUUCACCAAUCACACUCCUUAGUAUUUAUCCAAAGGAAUUGAAAACUUAUCUCCACACAAAAACCUGCACAUAGAUGUUUAUAGCAGCUUUAUUCAUAAUUUAUCCAAAACUUGGAAACAAGAUGUCUUUCAGUAGGUAAGUGGAUAACUGUGGUACUUCUGAAUAAUGGAAUGUUAUUUAGAGUUAAAAAGAAAUGCAUUCACUUUGGGAGGCCGAAGUGGGUGGAUUGCUUGAGGCCAGGAGUUUGAGACCAGCCUGGUCAACAUGGGAAAACCCCAAUUAGCCGGGCAUAGUGGCGUGAGCCUGUAAUCCCAGCUACUCGGGAGGCUGAGAUAUGAGAAUCGUUUGAACCUGGGAGAUGGAGGUUGCAGUGAGCCAGUGCCACUGCACUUCAGCCUGGGCAACAGAGCAAGACUCCUCUGUCUCAAAAAAAAAAAAAAAAAGAAAGAAAAGAAAAAAGAAAAAGAAAAAGAAAAGAAACGAUCAAGCCAUGAAAACACAUGAAGGAAACUUAAAUGUAUGUUACUAAAAAGCCAACCUGAAAAGACUGCAUACUAUAUGACUCCAACUGAUGCAGGGCAAGCAAGCCAAAAAUUAGGGCUUAGCCCGGGAAGAAUUCAAGGGUGAAGUGGUGGUGUUAGCAACUUUUACUGAAGCAGCAGUGUACAACAGCAGAACAGGUACUGCUCCUUGCUGAGCAGGGCUAACCCAUAAGUAAUGUGCCCAGAGUAGCAGCUCAGGGGCAGUUCUGCAGUAAUAUACCUGCUUUUAGUUAAGUGCAUGUUAAGGGGGAUUAUGCAGAAAUUUCUAGAAAAAGAGUGGUAACUUCGGAGUAGGUACAGAGGAAAGAAGUCGAUAAUGUCCUGUUGUUGCCAUGGCAACGAAAAACUGACAUGGCGCUGGUGGGCGUGUCUUAUGGAGAGGUGCUUUAACCUCGUCCCUGUUUCGGCUAGUCUUCAAUCUGGUCCGGAGUAAAGUCCCUGCCUCCGGAGUGGGCUCUUUGGGUGAUAGUUAGGUUUAGUUGAGAUCCUAGCAGAUCGAGUCUUCAUGAUGGGCAUGAUGGGACUGGUCCCUUAUAAGAAAAGACCAGAAAGCUAGCUCUCUCUUUGCCAUGUGAAGACAUAGCAGGAAGGUAGCCAUCUGCAAGCUAGGAAAGGGCCUUCACAAAGAAUCAACUCAGACCUCAGAACAGUGAGAGAUAAAUUGUCGUUGUUUAAGUCACUCAGGCUGUGGUAUUUUGUUUCAGCAGCCCAACCUAAGACUGUUAAUUGGAUUAGAAAUUUCCUUUUGGGGAUGGUGUGUGGCGGGCGGGGGGCGGGGAGUACCUUUGUUAAGCUUUUAUAUCAAUGAGUUUGUAGGCUUUUCUUUUUUGGUCAUUGACUAGGACAGUUUAAAUAGUAUGAGUGUGAAGGAGAUUGUUGGUCAUCUAUUCGAUGUCCCUUCUCUGUUUUUUAAUAUGAGAACUCCUGAUUUUCAGCCAACUACCCUGGAAAAAAAGCUAAUCUUUCUGACUUCUUAAGUGUGGCCAUGUACUAAAUUCUGGCUAAUGCAAGGCAAGCCAAAGGUUUUAUGAUAGGUUUUAGGACACUAGAGUAAAAGAGAGCUGUUGCACACAUGCUCUUCACCCUACUUUUGUGUCCUUUUUUCCAUCCUACAACUUGGGUUGUGAGUAUGAUGGCUGGAACUUUAGUGGCUCUCUUGGAUCCCAGGGGUAAUUGAGGGGUGGCUGGAAGGAAUCUGUGAUUUUCUGGAGUUUCCAUACACAAACAAGACCUGGAUUUUCUGGGCUUCCCAGACUUCCACAUCUAGACUUGCUUUAAAUGGGAGAGAAAUAAACUUGUUUCAGCCACUGUCAUUUUGGGCUAUUUUAUAGAACUUAAUCUAAUCUUCAAGGGUACAUGAAUUGCUUUUCCUUAAAAAAAAAAUCAGCCAUAAAAUCAUCUUCUUUUUUCUUUUGUUCCCCACAUUAUUUAGUUGGAGCUCUGUAACUUUUUUUUUUUUUUUUUUUGAGACAAGGUCUUGCUCUGUCACUUAGGCUGGAAUUCAGUGGCAUGACCAUGGCUCACUGCAGCCUUGCCCUCCUAGGCUCAAGCAAUCCUCGUCUCAGCCUCCUGAGUAGCUGAAACUAAGGCACAUGCCACCAUGCCCAGCUAAUUUCUUUUCUUUUAGAGAUGGGAGCCUUGCCCAGGCUAGUCUCAAACUCCUAGCCUCAAGUGAUCCUCCCAUCUCAGCCUCCCAAAGUGACAGGAUUACAGGUGUGAGCCACCAUGCCUGGCUGCUCUGUAAGUGUCUGAAUUUCAUUUUGUAUUUAUCAGUCUGUUUAGAUUUUCUUUCCCUUCUUGGGUCAGUUAGGCCAUUGGUUUCUUUUUAAAGGUUUUCAAAUUUAUUUGCAUCUAAUUCUUCAAAUUACUCUCAAAAUUAUUCCAGUAUAUAUUCUUUUGUUCCUAUUUUCUUCUGUAUUCUUUAUUAAAAUAGCUAAUGAUUUAUCUAGCAGGACUUAUAUUCUUUCCAUAACUUUCCUGCACCCCAAUUAAUCUCCAAUUUUAUAUUUCUUCUGGCCUUCCUUAUAGUUUCCACAGGUUUAUUUUAUUCAUUUUUUAAAACUUUUAUUUAAUUGUUUAUUUUAUUAUCAUUCUUUCUUAUUCAGCAAUCUAAGUGCUUAGGGAUAUAGAAUUUCCUCUAAGCAGCAUAUGCUAGGCUUUAACAAUGUUAGGGAGGCCUCCCCUUUCUGGGGAAGACCACACUUACAUUAACACAGGACUGUGGGAUGCCAAGAGGUAGAGAAGAGCUUAUGAAUAUCCAGAUUACAUCUUCACUGAUCCUGCACAAAGGUGGGGUUCCUCGGUUACCCACUGGGUCCUAUUACCCAAGUCUGGGUCAGCAUACCGAGACUACGGGUAUAUAGAACAAGUGCAACUGGCGAUAAUCCUUCUGUUGGGGAGAAAAAUCUUUUUUUUCUAUUCAUCUUAGGUUCUCCAUCUGUGGCCCUAUCAAGUAGACUAACAAAAGACAGAUUGACAAGACAGAAACAAAGCAUGUGCAUUGUACAAACACAGGGGAGUACUGAGAUGAAUACUCAAAAGAGGAUUUAGAACUUGGGCUUAUAUAGCAUUUUAAGAAAAGAAUACAUUUUUUAAGUGACAAGGAAGACGAAAAGGACUUUGAGUUUCUAGUGCAGUAAAUUGUGGGAAGGCAACUUUUUCUUUCCCUUUUUUUUUUUUUUUUUUUAAAAAAAAAGACUUCUCUGGUGCUAUGUCCAGGCUGAUAAGAGUCUAAAGUCUCUGGUGACUAACUUUUGUUCUUCCCCGAGUAAGAAGACACCUUCACAAUUUCAUAUCCUGCUUUUAGGCAAAUAGGGAGAGGGCAGAGGUGUUUGUUUGUUUUUAAUCUAUUUUUUUUCUCAAUUGUCUUCAACUCAAAAUACUUCUUAUGCCAAAGAUGGCAUAUUCUGCUACCCUUCACUUACUACUUACAACCCAGCCUCUAUCAUCAUAAUUAGAACUUCUGACCCUGGGGAACAUGGGCAAUAGUUUGAACUCUUUUAUAUCUCCCUUAGGCAGAGAUGGAGGCACAGCAUGAUCUUGGCUUACUGCAGCUGCUGCAGGCUCAAGCAAUUCUCC
rnacentral:lncRNA from 1 species